GGCUGCGUGUGUAGUGUGCUGACGCUGCCUGCUGUCUGCUCUUGCGCAGAAGGGCAACAUGCCUCUGCAUGUGGCAGUAAUGAACCCAGCAAGGCUGGAAAUAGUGCAAGCGCUGCUGGA
rnacentral:SRP_RNA from 1 species